AUGGAAAUUCUCGUGAAUUAUCCGUCGGGGUUUUGCGUACUCCAUCCUUCUGAAAUUCCGUCUUGCUUCUGGGGUUGCGAGCAAAAGUAG
rnacentral:rRNA from 1 species